AAUGGGUCAGCGACUUAUAUUCUGUAGCAAGGUUAACCGAAUAGGGGAGCCGAAGGGAAACCGAGUCUUAACUGGGCGUUAAGUUGCAGGGUAUAGACCCGAAACCCGGUGAUCUAGCCAUGGGCAGGUUGAAGGUUGGGUAACACUAACUGGAGGACCGAACCGACUAAUGUUGAAAAAUUAGCGGAUGACUUGUGGCUGGGGGUGAAAGGCCAAUCAAACCGGGAGAUAGCUGGUUCUCCCCGAAAGCUAUUUAGGUAGCGCCUCGUGAAUUCAUCUCCGGGGGUAGAGCACUGUUUCGGCAAGGGGGUCAUCCCGACUUACCAACCCGAUGCAAACUGCGAAUACCGGAGAAUGUUAUCACGGGAGACACACGGCGGGUGCUAACGUCCGUCGUGAAGAGGGAAACAACCCAGACCGCCAGCUAAGGUCCCAAAGUCAUGGUUAAGUGGGAAACGAUGUGGGAAGGCCCAGACAGCCAGGAUGUUGGCUUAGAAGCAGCCAUCAUUUAAAGAAAGCGUAAUAGCUCACUGGUCGAGUCGGCCUGCGCGGAAGAUGUAACGGGG
rnacentral:rRNA from 1 species